rnacentral:rRNA from 1 species
UAACGAAUCUUCCGCAAUGCGCGAAAGCGUGACGGGGCAAUGCCGCGUGCAGGAUGAAGCUCCUCGGAGUGUAAACUGCUGUCAGGGACCAGGAAGUUCUGACCAAUCCCAAAGGAAGGGCCGGCUAACUCUGUGCCAGCAGCCGCGGUAAUACAGAGGGCCCGAGCGUUAAUCGGAAUCACUGGGCUUAAAGCGUGCGUAGGCGGAUGGGUAAGCAUGUUGUGAAAUCCCACGGCUCAACCGUGGAAUUGCUUCGUGAACUGCCCGUCUUGAGGCGACUAGAGGCCGUCGGAACGAUAGGUGGAGCGGUGAAAUGCGUAGAUAUCUAUCGGAACGCCGAAGGCGAAGGCAGACGGCUGGGGUCGUUCUGACGCUGAGGCACGAAAGCAUGGGUAGCGAACGGGAUUAGAUACCCCCGUAGUCC